rnacentral:rRNA from 1 species
GAACGCUGGCGGCGUGCCUAACACAUGCAAGUCGAGCGCGAACGACCCCUUCGGGGGACUAGUAGAGCGGCGGACGGGUGAGUAAUACAUGGAUAAUCUCCCUUCGAGCCCGGGAUAACACUGCGAAAGCGGUGCUAAUACCGGAUAAGACCACGAGGCCCAGGCCUUGCGGGAAAAGGUGGCUUUAUUUUCGGAUGAGGCUAUCACUUGAUGAUGAGUCCAUGGCCUAUCAGCUUGUUGGCGAGGUAACGGCUCACCAAGGCAAUGACGGGUAGCUGGUCUGAGAGGACGACCAGCCACACUGGGACUGAGACACGGCCCAGACUCCUACGGGAGGCAGCAGUGGGGAAUAUUGGGCAAUGGGCGAAAGCCUGACCCAGCGACGCCGUGUGGGUGAUGAAGGCCUUCGGGUUGUAAAGCCCUGUUGGGUGGAAAGAAGGGCUCAGGGACGAAUAAUCCUUGAGCUUUGACGGUACCACCAGAGGAAGCACCGGCUAACUCCGUGCCAGCAGCCGCGGUAAUACGGAGGGUGCAAGCGUUGUUCGGAAUUACUGGGCGUAAAGGGCGCGUAGGUGGUUGUGUAAGUCAGAUGUGAAAUCCCGAGGCUCAACUACGGAACUGCAUCUGAUACUGCAUGACUCGAGUGCAGCAGAGGGAAACGGAAUUCCUGGUGUAGAGGUGAAAUUCGUAGAUAUCAGGAGGAACACCGGUGGCGAAGGCGGUUUCCUGGGCUGACACUGACACUGAGGCGCGAAAGCCAGGGGAGCGAACGGGAUUAGAAACCCCGGUAGUCCUGGCCGUAAACGAUGCCAACUGGGCGUUGGGGCGGACAGCCUCAGCGCCGGAGCGAACGCGGUAAGUUGGCCGCCUGGGGA